GAACUGCAGUCCCGGGCGCCGCCAUUUCUCGCUCCGGCAGCGCAGGGGCCCCGGCCGCGGUGACUCUGGGCAUGGAGAGCGGCUUCGGCUCCGACUUCGGCUCCGGAGGAGGCGGCGGGGGGAAGCUGGACCCGGGGCUCAUCAUGGAGCAGGUGAAGGUGCAGAUCGCCGUGGCCAACGCACAGGAGCUCUUGCAGCGGAUGACGGACAAAUGCUUUCGGAAGUGCAUCGGGAAGCCCGGCGGCGCCCUGGACAACUCCGAGCAGAAGUGCAUCGCCAUGUGCAUGGACCGGUACAUGGACUCCUGGAACACAGUUUCGCGAGCCUACAAUUCUCGGCUGCAGCGGGAGAGAGCCAACAUGUGACGCCUGCCGGCCUCCAGGCCGAGAGGGACCAUGUGGGGAAGGGACAAGCGGCCAGUCCAGGUGGUUAGAGAUGAAUCCCUGAUGAAAGGGCUGCAACAGGCAUGGAAAACGGGCCAAGCCAGCAACACAGUACCCUUGCUUGGGAUUCCAGCAUGGAUCCAUCCAUAAGGUAGUUACCCAGUCCCUCUUCAUUAGUGGAAAAGCAGCCAGAAGAUUAUAUACAUGCCACUUUGGCUCUUUCAUCCCUUAUAUCUGUGUAGUGCCAUGUGGGGCUGUCUUUGGGCUUAGAGGCUUUGACUCAGCUCAAGCACUGUGUUGGGGAGUAGGACAGCCUCUCAAAGUUGUAUGAGCACAGCUAGGAAUGAACAUGUUGGGAAAUAGGUUCUUUUCUUUAUAGAAUAAAGUGUAUUGUGUGGCUGUGAUACUCUGUUGUUUCUGGUUUGACUCUGGCACAGAUGUUCCAUCUUGGAACACUGCUUACACACUGCUCCUGAAAAGGUGGGUUCAUGCUCUAUGGUCAGCAGUGGAUAGAACAGGCGGAAGGGGAGUGUUGGAGGUUAACAGUGCCUUUUUUAAAUCCUUUCUUUUGAAGCUCUUCUGUAUUUUAUAAAAGAUUUCAUGGUUUGCUGGACAGAGAGACAGACUGGAAGAAUGACAUCUCCAUACCUCUAGGACAUUCAGAGGGAUGUGAUAGAACCUAAAGUGUUCUCACACAAGGUAAACUAUGAAGAGAUAUUUGGGUAUUUGGACUUACUGAAACUGGAGUUUCCAGACUGUCAGAAUGACUACUUGAAAAUAAAGUGCUUUCAGACACAUUU